AGUUUAUAAAUGUAUUUGUGUAUAGGGUGUGUAGUAUAUAUGGCAAGGGUUUUUUCCCCCCACUUAAGUGAUUAUUUUUGUGUCACAUCUAGGAAAACCGGCAGCAUGUUUCUAUCUAUAGCCAGCUUCUUCGACUGUAUAAAAGUAUUCUCUCCAGCUACGUAUAUACACACAUACAUAUAUAUCAUAGCAAUUCCUUGUGGUUUAUAACUUGCAAAUACUGCUAUCAGUUUAUAGGUAAAGAAACAGUGUGUUAAAUGACUUAUCCAGGGAGGGUCCUGUGGCUUCAUGUUUAUGGAGUUGCUAGGUCUCUGCCUCAUGGUCCAGUGCCUGUUAAGCCACUGUGUUCAUUCUAAUAGGCAUAAUGAAUUGUUAAAGAAUUUACUAAAAUCUCUUCCACCAAACUUUGAAAAAUAAUGAAGCCGCCCCCACUUUAGAGGCUCUGUAUGAAAAAAUGCUGUGGAGACAGAGCCCUCCUGGCUCCCUAGCUGAUCCUGGAGAUGCAGCAAUAGAUGAAUGGGUUAUCUCUGAAUUUGUAAGAGAUAAUUCACAUGAGGAUUAAGAUAAAAUGGGAAGUAAAAUCUAACAAACACAAAGAUAGCUCCCAGGCACUGCUUUGUGUAGUUUGACAGCAUUGUGGUUGUAGCAGCAAAGGACUUAAAGUGAUAGUUUUUAAACCAUAUUCUGUCCCUAAGUAAUAAAAAAUCUAGGAAGUUACUAAAAUACCAGAUUUGUUCUGCUCUGCCUCAUCUAGAAUCAACGUCUAACUAACUUAAAUGAAGUAUAAUAAAUGAGUUCAUAUGAAAAGGCUUCCUCUAUGGACACUUAGAUAUAUUGUAACUAUUGAAGUUACCUGGGAUGUGGGGGUGGUGGGAGGAGGACCUGCCUCCCCAGGACAUCUAUGACUAAGGCCUGGCUUUAGUUAUGGAGAGAGACGUAGAAGUUGAAUUUUACACCCAAAAUUGAUGUGACUGAAGAGGAACUGAUUGUUGCUAACCAGCUCACAAGAAUCCAGUAUUGAGACCAGUUCACUAGAAGAAACAAACAUUUCUGCCAUGCAGACCAAAAAGUUAUUAGUUGGUGAAUAUGUAUUUUCUCUUUGGAAGGUCUUUAAGGGGAGCAAACCAGUUUUAAUCAAUCAGAUUGCUUGGUAAGUUUGGAAUCUGCAAUCAGUUGGUCUUAAAAAAAAAAAAACUUUAUUUUGGAAAUUUAAAGACAUACACAAAAGAGGAACAAUAUAAUUAACCUCUGUUAACUCAUCACCAACAAGACUCAUGACCACUUUUAUACUUCAUGAGUGAUUGUAUUUGUAUCCACUGUUUUCUAUUAUUUUCGAGCAAGUCUCAGACACACCAUUUAAUCUGUAAAUAAUUCAGCAUGUAUCUCUAAAAGACAAAGACCUCUUAAAUAACAGUUCAUUAGUAUAAAACAAAUUGGGUAAACUUUUGUUGGUCAUCAAACUAUAUUAGCACUGGUCCAAUAGUUUAAUUUUCAUUGAGCCUUUCAAGAGGACCGACCAGUCUGCUGCUCAAGACAUCCUCUCCUCUGGAAUGUAGAGAUAAUACAUAUCAUGCUCCUUUUUGUUAAAACGUUUUUUUUUCCCCUUCAAACACAGUCCAUUCAUUUUUCAGUUUGGGUUGAAACAUCCUUUUCUUGAUCUUGAGCUUAUAAUAACCUAGUCAUAUUGCUCAGCUCAGAUAUUUUUACUCCCUCUCCUUAGGCAUUCUGGUUCCUUAAAUAUAGUUAGUGUCACAGAGGAUAAAUAACCAACCUUAUUUCUAAGGUCUGAGAACACUUGGACCACAUAUUGGUUGAGCUCAGCCACCUUCUGAUUAAAGUUUUCAGACUUGUAAGAACUGAAAAUUUUUAUGGUGGAAGUUCUCUGAGCCCUCAUCCAUUCUGUUUUUAAAAAUGCAUUGCAGAUGGGCUAUGUGAAUAUGUUUUUAAACAUCUGAUAUGUGCAUGAAACAAAAAACACUUGAAGUUAUUAUGUAUACAAUUCUGUGGGAUGGGACUUCAUGCAGGAUUGGUUUUCAAGUUUGAUUUCCUGAGGGAUUUUUUAGUUGUUUGUGAAAGAACCCCAGGUCUACUUUUGAAAUUUUGUAUUAUAAUUGUAAUGUUGCCCAUGGUUAAAAAAAAAAAGUGUUCAGUGAUCUAUGUCUCCUACUACUCCUAUUUCUCUGUUUUUCCUCUGCAGGAGCUUGCUGCUGUUAACAGUUAUUCUUCCAAGUUGUUUUCUUUGUGGGGAGAUGGGAGGUGGGAGGAAAUAUAAACAUAUAUGUAUAGAUCUUUCAAAAUAUAUGACGGUAUACCCGUAUGUUCUGAGUCUUGCUGUUUUUACCUGGUAAUAUUUAGAAACAUUUAUUUUGAGAUAAAGGAGAGCACUUUUAAGUUGAACCUGUAGUUUUAAAAAGUACAUUUCAAGUAAGCCAAAGCAGAGAAGUAAAUGUAUUUUUCAUUGUUGUAUCAGAAUUUUGAAUUUACUAUUUUAAAAAUUCAAGAGUUUUGUAGCUGAUCUAUUUCUUCCCCUCAGCCAUCCCAAAUAGGUCAUUUGUCAACAGAUUUAAGAAUGUUUAGAAACAACAACUUUGGGAAACGGGAAACAAUUUGGUAUAAGUGGGUGUGCCAUAACCUCUCUCGUAGCCAUUCAUUCCCGGAUACAUACCCUAGAGAAACUCUUACACAUGCGUACCAGGGGAUGGAUUUAAGCAUUUGUGUGUAAUAGGAAGAAAAGAAGAAAAAACCCGGGAAGAUCCCAAGUGUCCACCAACAGUGUGUUGGAUAAAUACUGUGGUAUAUUCCAACAGUGGAAUUCCACAGAAGUGAAACUGAACUGCAGCUGUGUAUGUGAACAUGGACAAAACUCAACAAUAGAAGGAUCAAAAAAAGCAAGUCACAGAAGAAUACAUCACUAUGGUUCCAUUUCAAUGAAAGUCAAAAACAGGCUGUCAAAUACAUGAUAAAAGGAAACGAUUAAGACAAAAUUUAAUGUUAGCCGUUUUGAUGGAGGGAGAGGUGAUCAUGAGGGCACAGGGGUCUUCAGAAGAACUGGUGAGGGUCUGUUUCUGAAGCCUGUGGGCAUUUCCUUUUUUAAUCUGUAUGUUUAUGUGCUUUUGUAUGUAUGAUAUUUCUUAAUAAAAUUUAAAAAGAAGAAUGGG
rnacentral:lncRNA from 1 species